GAUGAACGCUGGUGGCGUGCCUAAUACAUGCAAGUCGAGCGAACAGACGAGGAGCUUGCUCCUCUGACGUUAGCGGCGGACGGGUGAGUAACACGUGGAUAACCUACCUAUAAGACUGGGAUAACUUCGGGAAACCGGAGCUAAUACCGGAUAAUAUAUUGAACCGCAUGGUUCAAUAGUGAAAGACGGUUUUGCUGUCACUUAUAGAUGGAUCCGCGCCGCAUUAGCUAGUUGGUAAGGUAACGGCUUACCAAGGCAACGAUGCGUAGCCGACCUGAGAGGGUGAUCGGCCACACUGGAACUGAGACACGGUCCAGACUCCUACGGGAGGCAGCAGUAGGGAAUCUUCCGCAAUGGGCGAAAGCCUGACGGAGCAACGUCGCGUGAGUGAUGAAGGUCUUCGGAUCGUAAAACUCUGUUAUUAGGGAAGAACAAAUGUGUAAGUAACUAUGCACGUCUUGACGGUACCUAAUCAGAAAGCCACGGCUAACUACGUG
rnacentral:rRNA from 1 species